rnacentral:rRNA from 1 species
GCCAGCAGCCAUAUCACCCUGCAGCUCUGGACUGGUUACCCACUGAAGAUAAGCAGGGUUGAUCCUGGUCAGUACCUAGAUGGAGACCUCCUGGGAAGCUAUAAAUGCUGCUGGAA